rnacentral:lncRNA from 1 species
CAUCCACACCGUCACUCUCUCUCUUCUCUCCCCCUCUCUCUCACCUACCGCCACCUCCCACACCACCACCAUCCCGACGAUCUGCUCCUCCGUCUUCUCCGGCGACAUCACCGUCGCUCUGGCGACAUCACCGUCGCUCCGGCGACAUCACCGUCUCCUCCGUCUUCUCCGGCAACAUCACCGUCUCCUCCGUCUUCUCCUGCGACAUAACCGUCUCCUCCGUUCCAGUGGGGGUGGUGGGUUUAAUGGUGUUUGUUGCUGGUUUGGGUUGUUGCAGGUUGGGGUUAGGGUUCUAGUGGGGGUGGUGAUGGUCGAGACGGUGGUGGGUGAAGGAGAGAGAGAGAGAAUCGAUGGUGGUGGGUGGGUUGUGUGGGUGGUUUUGGUGGAAGCAAAGAAGUUAUUUCCUCACACUUGAUGUAUACUCUUCACAUAAAGGUUGUCUUCCGGUCACUUUGACAUAAUAAUUUUGCCCUAUAAAUACUUCCAAAACUGCAUUCUCUAUGUACACUGACGACUCAAACUUUAAAAUCAGAGGUAUUUUUAAACGGUGGUGGGUGAACAGGGCCUGAUGAACAAUUUUGAUUGCUUAUUAUAUGCAAAAAAAAAAAAAUUAUGAUUGUAAAAUUUGAAUUUAUUCUUAUAACAAUGGAAGUUCUUAUUUUU